ensembl:lncRNA
UGUGCCAGGAAACGUGCUAAUUGCCAGGUGUGACACGUUAACCUCCUCUGGAGGAAGUGUGUGAGAAGCAGUUCAGCUGCUGGCUGAAGUGAAGUCACAGCCCUAGUAUGUGUAGGUGCUGUAUUACCAUUUGCAGAAGAAAGGAACCUGAUGCAAUCUUCAAGGUGCAGCAUGGCAAAGCUUUGUGAGAUGCUUUUUUCUGUGCUUUGCUUAAAAUGGUGGAAAACAAGUACUUGUUCAAGAAACAUUGGUGAUGCUUCUUACUGGAAUUGCUGAUGGAGUUAAGGCCUGAGCAUCUUCUCUAAGGCUGAAUUGCUGACUAGUUAAAGAUAGUAGGGCAGCAGAACCGCCCCAGAAACCUUCAGUCUCAGCAGGUCAGACACAAGUGCUUUGAUUUCUUAAUACAUUUUUCUUGUUUGCUAAAUUAUUAAGGGAAAUUUUGUAGGUUUUUGUUGUUUUCUUUUUCUUUUUCUUUUUUUUUUCUUUUGUUAAGUUCUUCACAUGACAGUUCUAUGGCUAAAAUGACAUAUAGCUAAAAUAACAUCAAUGAAAAUGUGAAGGAGAAACGAAACUAUAGUUUCCCUAUUGUGGGCUUUUCUCUGUUGUGAAAACAGAAUGUCACAGAAUUUCAAAACAGAAUUUCUAAGCAUGAGCCAUCAAGGUAAAGAGUGUGCGUUCUUAGGCAUAAUUAAGAUACAGAAAAAAACAUGCAUACCUGUUACACUAGCAAAAGAAAAAGAUUGCUCUUUUUUUGAGAAAUAUUAUAGGCAUGGAAAUAUAAUUAUGUGGUUGGAAAACAGGUAUAUGGAAGAUAUAUUUCAAGAUGAGAAUUGUUUUGUCUCCAUUCACCAAACACCCUAGCUAGUGAAAAUGAAGAGAUGUGAUAAAGAAGUCUGAUCCACUCUGUUUUGCUGGAUUUUGAGGAACCAGUACUGGGGCAAUUGCUUGCAAGUCUUUCUUGGAUGAGAUUUCUGGCUGGCUUGAAAAAUCCAUGUGUUUCUUGAUGCGGCGACAACUGUGGUUUAACAGCAUAUACAAAUAUCUUCAAAUCCAAGCUUCAAGAGCCAAAGAAAUUGAAUGGGCAAAUCUUGGGGACACCUGCUGUAUAAUUUGAAAAUUAAUUGUAAUUUGAAAUGAAUUUGAAAAUUAAUUUUAAUUUGAACAAGUGAAAAUUAGCACAAAGUGAGGACAUCAAGGAAGCCAAAGUAGAUGGAGAACCUAUAAGCUGGCAGUGAAACUGCUGUUCUUAAGCAGUGUGGGUAUGCUGCCAAUUCCUCUGCACUAAAGAUUUACCUGCAGGAUCCUUUGGAUGACUUAAAUCUCAGAGAAAAACCUUAUACAGAUUCUUGUGUUUUCAGAGCCAUCUGCAAAAUCAAAAUGUAGACAAAAUGAUGCGACCUUUUCCUGCUCUAUUGUGCUGUGGUAUCUGUCUAGGGAUUAGGUAUGAAGGUAAACCAGUUUGUGGUAAAGCUGUAUAUCUUUCAGACAGUGUCUGAGCAGUGUGUGUAAAGAGCUUGAUUAGUAAAUUGCAUAUCAUCUUCAGCAUAAAAUUAUGCUAAAUCAUUUUUAAUAGUCUUAAUAUUGCAAAGAUACCACGAUAUGACAUUUUUCCUGUCACUAAUAUUAUGUUAUUAAGAACAAAAUGAGAGAUAAAACAAACAAAAGCAACCUCAAAUUCCACAAAUGAACAAAUCCCUCACCUUUUAAUAGACAAACUUUCCUGUAGCUCAAACUAAUAUACAGACGAUUCUCCUAGAUAUAAGUUUCACUGGCAUCAGAUUAUAACAACAGACAGUUUGCAAAGAGAUUCUGUCCUUGCACAAGAGCAUGGCUUAGAAAACAAAAUUCUAAGUGUUAUUAACUUAGUCACAGAAUUAGUGGGAGCAAGAGUACAAUGGAAGUAUCUUUUUAGGUCUGAGUGGUGGAAAUAAACAACAGUUUAUUAGUGGUUAUCAAAAAAAUAGUCCCGAGAGUAGUAUCCUGUCAACUGAGUUCAAGUGGGAAUCUUCAGUAGAUUUUCAUCUAAAUGACCUGAGAUGAAAAUUCUGAGAGUCUGACAGUACACCUCAUUUCAGUAGUAUAAAAAUAUGUAGAGCAUGGAUGUCAGCUCAAUUACAGCUUUGUGGAUAGAAUCUCAGCUGAUCUAAAAGGUGGAACUACGCAUCAGUUGUACAAAGUACCUUUCUACUGUGAAAGGGGAAACACUCUUUACAGUUCUGUAUAAACUGGCACUUCUGCACACUAGACUAACUUGUGUAAUAGCCUUAUAACCUGAAGGGAAAAGCUGCAAUAAGAACCUUGCCUUUCAGAAUAAGCAUCUCCAUGUGCAAAGACAGGAAAGGAAGGAGGUGUGACAUAACCUGACAUUCUCUUUUUAAGUAGCUAGAAGAGGUAUGUCAAACCAUGAACCCUUCAGAGUAAGGUUGGUUGAGAGAAGAUAAUUUAAUAUAGCAGUAGAAAGAGAAGAUUUAUGAGGUCAAAUGCUCAGCCAAGACUUAUCUCUGUACUGUGAGUCAUCUGAUGAGGCAUAGCUACAAUGAAAAAGACUUUUUAUUUGGAAAAUUUAUAUUUUCAAAUUUAUUUGAAAUUUAUAUUUAAAUAUAUAUAUAAACGAAAUUUAUAUGAAAAAGACUGAAUUUUAUUUUAUUUUAUUUUUUUUUACUUUUUAAGAUUCACAUGCAUAAGAAAUUGCAAAGGUAGGUCAUUUUUCUUUCUUUCUUUCUUUUUUACUGGAAAAAAAUUAUAAGGAAUACUUUCAGGAUGAAGCAUUCUAAUUUGAACUUGGUUUGGACAUGUUAUUUUUGAAUGUGCCAGAAGAGCACUUGGCAGAUGGAGGAGAAUAGGAUAGAGCUUCUCUAUUACAAAGCUCUCUUCCCAGUGCCUAACAAGAGGUCACUUUUUAAAUGUUCUUUGCCAAGAUCAUUGCAGAGGAAUGUUCCUGGACUGAGGCAUAAGGACCAUGGCCACUCUGUUUGGUCAUGUAUGUUCUUUCCCCUGCCCAGUAGUGUUAUUGACUUUAAUCCUCUUCCCUCCCAGAAUUAUUUUCUUUCCUGGUAGAAAUGAUAUUUGUAGAUGUGGAAGAGAAGGCUGGAGCUCUGACAGAAUAUUGGGUACAGAGCAGUACAGACCAUUAGAACAAGCUUUGUGUGAUGAGUCAGAGGGUUUAAGCUUCUGUUAUGCUCUGAAUUGUUGUACUUCAGAAUUUUGCCAAGAUGUUGAAAAAGUUGCUGUAGUCUGUGAAACUUAUUAAAUGAUUGACUUCUAGUAGGAGAGUGCACUGAGGUGUGGGUGGUUGGAUAUAUCCAAUGUGGCUUGAGACAUCUGAAAUAAUAAAAAUCAAUUAUAUGUUUUAGUCUCUUGACUGAAAUAGCAAAUAUCUCGCUCUGCAUAAAAAAAGUAGGUAAAAGUGUGGACAAGUGAAUGUCUUGGUCUUUUAAGUUAUAAACUCAAGGUCUCUUUGACUUUAGAAUAAAUACUUAAAAUAAAGGCCUUGACAGGAAAGCUCUGAACCAAAUUAAACUGUCUUGGGGAGGCAGAAUGAAUAAAACACUAGGAGAAAUAAGGCUUCCAUGACUACCAUUCGGUAAUAAAUAAGUGUAAUUACAGGUCCAGUGAUCAGAAUCGGUUUCAACAUAUUAAGUCAUGUUCAAUAUAUCCUAAUGUUGUUAUGGAAGAUUGGGUUGUCUUCCUCUGUCAAAGCAGUGCUUCCACCAUUUUUUCUGUAGCUGUAAAUUAUUUUAGCGGCACUGUAGCUCAGCAGUGAUGUAGGCUGGUUCAAGAAAUCUAUUCUGCAAUAAGUACAAUGGUAACACCUGUCUGUGCCCUGCUUUGCCAUGGUGCAUACAGGGUGAUCCUACCACUGUGUUGGCUUACCAUAGUAUUAAUGCAAGUUUGUUAAUUCAGCUGCACUUGAAAUAUUAUCAUGGACUUUAAAAUUGCACACUUUUUGUUUUAAGUUUUUUUAAACAAUGUCUGUCCAGCAGAAGCUCUUCUUUACUCACGUGAUUACUUAAAGCCAAUUAGUGUGAUACAAGUGCCCUGCUAUCAACUGGAGGAUGUGGUAGCUAUUUCACACCCUUUCCAGUAACACAGAUUUUAGAUUAUACAGGUACUGCAUUCCAGUUUUAUGUUUUUUUGCAGGAUAUGUGACUGAAAAUAGCAAAGCUGACAUUUGAUACAUACAUUUCCAGGUUUGUUUAGUAAUCAAAACUUAAACGUAUAAAAUUACUCAUCAGAUGCCGU